rnacentral:rRNA from 1 species
GAGUUUGAUCCUGGCUCAGGACGAACGCUGGCGGCGCGCCUAACACAUGCAAGUCGAACGGAGCUGAGAGGAGCUUGCUUUUCUUAGCUUAGUGGCGAACGGGUGAGUAACGCGUGAGUAACCUGCCCUGGAGUGGGGGACAACAGUUGGAAACGGCUGCUAAUACCGCAUAAGCCCACGAUCCGGCAUCGGAUUGAGGGAAAAGGAUUUAUUCGCUUCAGGAUGGACUCGCGUCCAAUUAGCUAGUUGGUGAGGUAACGGCCCACCAAGGCGACGAUUGGUAGCCGGACUGAGAGGUUGAACGGCCACAUUGGGACUGAGACACGGCCCAGACUCCUACGGGAGGCAGCAGUGGGGGAUAUUGCGCAAUGGGGGCAACCCUGACGCAGCAACGCCGCGUGAGUGAUGACGGCCUUCGGGUUGUAAAACUCUGUGAUCCGGGACGAAAAGGCAGAGUGCGAAGAACAAACUGCAUUGACGGUACCGGAAAAGCAAGCCACGGCUAACUACGUGCCAGCCGCCGCGGUAAUUC